rnacentral:rRNA from 1 species
CGAACGGGUGAGUAACACGUGGGCAACCUGCCCAAAAGAGGGGGAGUAACACUUGGAAACAGGUGCUAAUACCGCAUAACCAUAGUUACCGCAUGGUAACUAUGUAAAAGGUGGCUAUGCUACCGCUUUUGGAUGGGCCCGCGGCGCAUUAGCUAGUUGGUGGGGUAAAGGCUUACCAAGGCAAUGAUGCGUAGCCGAACUGAGAGGUUGAUCGGCCACAUUGGGACUGAGACACGGCCCAAACUCCUACGGGAGGCAGCAG